UUCUCCAUGAAAUGCCAUGUUUGAUGUGGAUCCAAUCACACAGUCACCUCGUUCUUAUUGGCAACCCGUUAAGUAUAUCACACAGGGACCACCACUCUGUGCAUGACGUGUGCAAAUGUCACCAUCCGCAACUGAUAAAAUGUCACAACGACCUGCCUCCAAACAUGGGUUCAGCUGCACACAGAGAAAGAGAGAAAAAGGGAGCAGAGAAGAAAGAAGAGAAAAUCAUCAUCUCCUUUCUCUGGCCUUAUCGUCUCAGGCUUUGAUCCAGCUCAGACUGUGUUAAAGGACUCACUCCCUGUCAUCCUGGCCCACUGCUGUUGCUCCUGUGUUGCUGGGACUACUAUGUGCAACCUCACAGUUGCACUGCUCUACCAGACAGAACACUACUGUCAACUUGGGAUUGGUGUGGUUCCCUCUGUCCAUAGUUGCACUGAGAGUGAGCAGAGGUGGCACAAGCAAAGAACAAUGGGUGUGAAGCCAGGCCCUGUUAGGAUGAUGGUCCUGCCAGCAAGACCCAAAGAGGAGACUGGCAGAGGGAGUGAGGAUGUCGGUUUGGCGGAGCUGGGAGAGUCGUCAGCAAAAUGGGACACACCCGGGCUCGGUGUGCACGCCCAAUUUUUCAGUUUUUGAUUUGUUAAAAUAGUUUGAAAUAUCCAAUAAAUGUCGUUCCA